AAUGCCUAACGCCAGGAGGGAGAGACAAAGGGGCCUCUUCUUUAACACUGUGAAUAGCCCCAGAGUGAAUACAGCCUUCGACAGCUGUGGUUUCAUUCUCAUCACCGCUGGGCGAGUUGGGGGUGCUAAUUGUGAAGCUGGAGAGCUGUUAAAAUCAGACCAGAUUUGUUAAAGGAGAGGAGUAAGAUGAUACUUCAGACCAGUAUCUGCAGUGGCACAGGCACAAAAGCCCUAUCUCAGGAGAAGGAAUGAAAGGAAGGCAAAAAGGCCGUGAGAAAAUGAAAGAAGCUGGUUGAUUGACCCCUCCUCUGUGUCGCCUCAGCAACUUGUCCAUAUCAUUGUUACAGCACUUACCACACAGUUGUAAGACGGUACUGCAAGCUUACUUUCCAACGUGGCUGCAUCGUUUCACAUUCCCACCAGCAGUAUGAGUGUUUUAUAAAAAUUAAAUGAGAAGAAUGCAUGUGAAAAUGCCUAACAUGGUGUUUGGCACUGUAUCAGUCUGUUUUCACGCUGUUGAUAAAGACAUACCCAAGACUGAGCAAUUUACAAAAGAAGAAAGUUUAACUGGACUCACAGUUCCACGUGGCUGGGGAGGCCUCACAAUCAUGGCAGAAGGCGAUGGACGAGCAAGUCACAUCUUAAGUGGAUGGCAGCAGGCAGAGAGAGCUCAUGCAGAGAAACUCCUGUUUUCAAAAACCAUCAGAUCUUGUGAGACCCAUUUACUAUCAGAAGACCAGCACAGGAAAGACCAGCCCCCAUGAUUCAAUCAUCUCCCACCGGGUCCCUCCCACAAAACCUGGGAAUUAUGGGUGCUACAAGAUGAGAUUUGGGUGGGGACAUAGAGCCAAACCAUAUCAGGCACAUAGCUGAUACACUCCUUCUUUAAGAGGGUAGAAUAUGGUAUAUAUUGCAUUAUUCAGUACUAAAAGAGCUCAGAAUGACAUUGUUUAACCCGUGGUAUUUGCCACCUCCAAUCCAAGGAGCCAUAUUCCAGAGUUACAAGAGAAAGAGAAAACAUUUCAAGUUGAUGCCUGCGUUUCUAGGUAGAAUCACAUGAUGACUUCCUUCCCGUUAUUAUAGCCCUGGCUCCCUGUUAGUCAGGGAAGAUGAACCUAGAGGAAGUAGAAGGAAGAAGAGUGACAUGCAGGAAGCUUCCCUAGAAACAUUCUCAUUAGCCUUCCUUGGGUCUGUGCCUCGAUACACCAGCCCAUCAUCAUCAUGAUCAUCAACACCAUUAUCAUCAUCAUUGUGCUCUGUAGCAGCCACAGACCUGGCAGUUCUCAAUGGCCAUUUACAGAAUGCCCACAUGUGCUGGGCUCUGUGAGAGACUAUACAGACACUGGACAAUCAAGUGAAGAGUGAUUCUGCUUGCAAAUGGACAGUGAAGAGAGUGCUUCCCAUCCCUUCGUAUUUGCCUUUGAUGACUAAGAAUGAGGCACAUUGUUGCCUGUGGAGUUAGGAAAACAACUUUCCAAUGACCCACUUUCCCAUAUCUCUUAGCUAUUGCAGCUCAUACAAUCUCAGGGCUGGAAAAGAUCCUAGAAAUGAUCAGACUCACUUUGCAAAAGGACAUGAAAGUCCAGAGAAGCUGUGACUCACCUGAAGUCAGGGAACUCAUCAAUGAGAACAGGAACAGGAGCCUGGGUUACCUACUUUCAAGCUCAGCAGACUUUCCAGCAUACCACCAUGCCUCUCUUCUUGAAUAAUUUCCUGAAGUUCUAAGAAACAUGAGUAGAAUAUACCUGAUACUAAAACAAUAUGAGUAUUUCUGGUAGAAGUAGUAAAUUGCCUGUUUCUAUAUUAGAACAAUGAUUUUAUAAAGAUUAUUAUUACUAAGAAGACAAAGAGAAUAUUUCUGAAAUGUUGACAGUUGGUAUACUUUUCUGGAAUUCCAAUUUGCUUUCCUGGUUAAAUUUUGGAGUCUCAAAUUUUAUUAUUAAAUUAUCAUAUCUUUAACUAUUAAAUGGUAUCUAAUUUCAUGAUUGAAGACAGUAAAGGUGCUAGGUAUAAAAAGACAGCAUAAUCUUUCUAACAGUGCCGUGGAAGGGCCCUUUUGAAGCCAAAGUCUUCAAAUGUAAUUCAGCCAGAAUAUACUAUGGUAUUA
rnacentral:lncRNA from 1 species